GAUGAACGCUGGCGGCGUGCCUAAUACAUGCAAGUAGAACGCUGAAGGAAGGAGCUUGCUCUUUCCGGAUGAGUUGCGAACGGGUGAGUAACGCGUAGGUAACCUGCCUGGUAGCGGGGGAUAACUAUUGGAAACGAUAGCUAAUACCGCAUAACAGUAGAUGUUGCAUGAUAUCUACUUAAAAGGUGCAAUUGCACCACUACCAGAUGGACCUGCGUUGUAUUAGCUAGUUGGUGAGGUAACGGCUCGCCAAGGCGACGAUACAUAGCCGACCUGAGAGGGUGAUCGGCCACACUGGGAAUGAGACACGGCCCAGACUCCUACGGGAGGCAGCAGUAGGGAAUCUUCGGCAAUGGACGGAAGUCUGACCGAGCAACGCCGCGUGAGUGAAGAAGGUUUUCGGAUCGUAAAGCUCUGUUGUAAGAGAAGAACGAGUGUGAGAGUGGAAAGUUCACACUGUGACGGUAUCUUACCAGAAAGGGACGGCUAACUACGUG
rnacentral:rRNA from 1 species